ACUAAUUGAACUUUUUUUUGAAAAAAAUAUUUGGUACAGGUUGUAGAUAAUAAUAAUAGCUAUCUGCGUUACCAAAUAUUUUUUGCCCAAAGUUCAAAAUAUUUGAAAUAUUUGAAAAAAUGUUAAAAUCUCCAUACAUUUCUUCGACCGAAAACUUCUGCCUCGAUAUGGUGCUCUUCGUUUGCUUAUACAUGGGCAUGAUCUCGGGCAUGAUGACUUUUCGCGACUACGAAGGUAAAAGAGAUUCCAACUCUUUGUCGCUCUAAUGAAAAACCUCGUAAGGAACUGUCAGAAUGUGCGUGAAAAAAAAAGCCAAAAAAAUUUCCCUCCCGUUUUUUCUCACGUAAACCUUCACGCACAUUCGACAACUUCGUAGUCGCGAAUAUACAUGGAUUCUUACCCAUCUGUCAAUGAAAAAAAAAAAAAAACUCGAAGACGAACCGGAAUGGCAGCAGAAGAGUGAAAAUUUGAAACAAAAGUAAAAAUUUAUCCUACAAACAAUAUUACAGGUAGAUUUUACGUGAGAAAAGUGAAACGAUGCUUCCGGAACACUAUGUCUUCACCGGGCAACAAAAUCUUCGUCGUCCGCGGAGAAAAUUCCCGGGGGAAAACAUUUCAUGUUUCUCCUGUCGAGGGCAAUGCAUCGUGGUUUUUGCUGGAGCUAAAUCUCAGGAGGAGCUGAUUUUCAUGUUGGAGCGCAUUGUUCUGGUGACGGUGGUCACUCAUGCAGGGUUGGUUGGUACGCGCACCUUUACGCUGAUUGCAGAAAGAGGUUAGAUCAAACAUCAGCGCCUCCUGAAAUUAAGAACGGAAGUCUGAAACCACAACCUAGUGUUAUUGAAUGUUCAAAGCCGCCUCAUUUGUCGCAUCGAUAUGCAGAGAUUCACCUGGAGAAGCUCUUCUUAAACAAGACAUCGUCCAGUGGAAAAGGGACGACCAAAUGCAGCAACCGGCAUAUCUUUCCGAAACUGAACUUCAAACUAAAUAAGAUCUGCCACCACAUAUAUUCCUCCUUUCUUCCGACAUUCAUGAUUAUGUUCAAGAUUUAUCGUUCCGGUUACCAAACCACCUACAUGUCGAACUCACAAGCGAACACCAUCACAGACCUCUCCAGCCUGGUCACCGUCCGCAUUAGAUAAGUUGGAAAGGUUUUCUUUUUUACAUUAAUAAUUUAUAUAUGCAUAAAAGUAAUAAAACGUAUCUUAUGGGGGUGGGGGGAGUUCUGCUGGACUUAAAAAA